rnacentral:rRNA from 1 species
AUUGAACGCUGGCGGCAGGCUUAACACAUGCAAGUCGAGCGGGGACUUCGGUCCUAGCGGCGAACGGGUGAGGAAUGCUUGGGAAUCUGCCCAGUAGCGGGGGAUAACGUUUCGAAAGGAACGCUAAUACCGCAUACGCCCUACGGGGGAAAGGGGGGGAUCUUCGGACCUCUCACUAUUGGAUGAGCCCAAGUCGGGUUAGCUAGUUGGUGGGGUAAAGGCCUACCAAGGCGACGAUCCGUAGCUGGUCUGAGAGGAUGAUCAGCCACACUGGAACGGAGACACGGUCCAGACUCCGACGGGAGGCAGCAGUGGGGAAUAUUGGACAAUGGGCGAAAGCCUGAUCCAGCCAUGCCGCGUGUGUGAAGAAGGCCUUCGGGUUGUAAAGCACUUUAAGCGAGGAGGAAUGGCUGAGGGUUAAUAACCUUCAGCAGUGACGUUACUCGCAGAAUAAGCACCGGCUAACUCUGUGCCAGCCGCCGCGGUAAGAC